rnacentral:rRNA from 1 species
CGGACUGGUGAGUAACGCGUGAGGAACCUGCCUUCCAGAGGGGGACAACAGUUGGAAACGACUGCUAAUACCGCAUGAAACAUUUGAACCGCAUGGUUUGAAUGUCAAAGAUUUAUCGCUGGAAGAUGGCCUCGCGUCUGAUUAGCUAGUAGGCGGGGUAACGGCCCACCUAGGCGACGAUCAGUAGCCGGACUGAGAGGUUGACCGGCCACAUUGGGACUGAGAUACGGCCCAGACUCCUACGGGAGGCAGCAG